UUAUCGUCAUUUGAUUAUUUAAGCAUUGCUCCUAUGUUAUAGUUUUCCUAUCCUAGUGCUCCUCAGGUCUUCGAGUCAGAAAAGGGACGACCUACUCGUCGUCCUAGGGGUACCCAGAUUUUUAGGUCCCCGAUCAUCGCUGCUUUUGAGGUGCCUCCCACAAUGAUAUUGGAAAUGAUCGCUAAGAGUAUCUCAUUUCUUCCAAGAUCUAAGUGUAUCAUACUAGAGCCCUUCGACGGUGGACCAUCAACUAGCCCUAGAGUCGAGCCUUCCUCCGGAGUUCACUUCGAACAAUUGUACGCAUGUGAGUUGUCUUUUCUUUAUUGCUUUACACUACUUUACUUCUUAAAGCGUUAGUAGUACAUAUACACAUGCAAUUAUACAGAUAUAGAGAGACUAGUUUGAGCAUGUACACCGGCUCACUGCGGUGCUAAGUGAUAGUUCUUUGUCAUUAGCGAGGAUUGGAGGGUAAGUAAACAAAAAUGUACAUAAUGUAUGCAUGUUGUGUUAUGAAACGCAAUGGUAAUGCUUUAGGUUUUUUGCAGAACGGACCAUGAGGGUUUGUAGGGGCAGGUCAAUGCCCAUCAGCGGCCGAUUAAGAUUUUGACACUCCAGUUGUCUGCUCUUUGGACUCAAUGUUUAGACACCCAUUCCGAUGAGGGAAUAGAUGACUCGGGAGAGGGCUCCAACGACUUCGAUUAGAUUAACUGCUUUUCUUUUUUAGAACACUACUAUGUAUUAAUAUUCACUAUUGUGCUUUAACACUGGAUUUUGAAUAUUACAAUGAUUUUGAUUACAUAGAA
rnacentral:lncRNA from 1 species